ACCUAGGGAAUAUUUCAGCUCUUUCUUUCACAGAAAGUCAGGGAGCCCUUGGGGUAUUCCACAGAUGUAAGCAAUAGUUCUCUGCACCGCCUUGACACAUUUAUUAAACAGAGAUUCAUGUGCAAAUCAGGAGAAAACAGACUUAGCCAUGUGUUUAUGAAGUACAGCAAAUCUAAUUUAAAAAAAAUCUUGAGAGGGGAAGAAAACGUUGCUGACAUCGUUUGCCCUCCUUAGCCUCAGAUUUGCCAGGCAACAUAACAGUUGCUAUUUACUUAUUGCCUUUGUUAUAAAUUCUGUGCAAAUCAAUUUGCCUGCUGGCUGUUAAGAAAAUAACAAGUAGCUUCCAGAAAGCCAGGGAUGAUGCUUGUAAUAAUGAUGCAGGUCCACCUUAAGUUGAUAGGGAAACUUCAACUGACUUUACUGGGGGUUGGCUCCAUGCCUUUGUUUUUUGAUGCCUGUAUGGUAUACACAAAGAUUUUUAAAUCGUUAAUGCUUGUAGUCCACAUGUCUAACUAGAUGCUUGUUAGACACAGUCUUGGGCUGGAAAGAUGGACCAGGAAGGUGAUUAUUCCUUUCAGAACUAUUCACUGGGGAACCUUUCACUUGUAAAGGUGAUCAAUGUCUUCGACGCGAGACCUGACCUCAUGCCAGCCUAAGCAAUUGCUGGCUCACCACAAAAUCAGGGGUGAAGGUUGGCAAAGUGCUCUGCUGUGCUGAAUGGAGUUCAGAGGAAAGGCUGCUGUGUUUUAGAAGUGACCCAGCUGAAGGGACAUCAGGGCUCUGACACCUUGUGCAAGACAGACACACAUUGCAUCGUAGUGUAUAUGUGUGCUCUUCAUCCAAAUGGGAGACAUGGCAGGGAAUGGGGGGCCAGUGAAAAGAGAAGGGGUGCUGGUGGCACCCAGCUCUUACAGCAGUGCUGUCCUGAGCAUCAAAUGAUGCGACAUAUUACAGAAAUAGCCUGACUUGUUGUUUGCAUGAAGAUCUAAUCUCUGCAGAUGAACAACAACAACAAAAAAGCAGUGUGUUUACAGAGGACAUCCUUACCGUGGAAAUGCAGGGGACAUGAUGGGUGCCCAGUGAUGUUUUGAAGACCUGACACAGAUAAGAGCUCCUGGGGCCUGGAACAUCGCUUUGUGGUGGCCUG
rnacentral:lncRNA from 1 species